rnacentral:lncRNA from 1 species
AUGGACCGAGCCCACCGGCUCCCUUUGUUCGCACGGGAACACGACGCCUCUCCCCCGGUUCCGACAGGACAACUUCAGCCGCGAGCUCGGGCUCAACCCAAACCAUCGCCGCCGCUUCGGCCGGGGCUGGCCGUGCCCGCUCCCAGCUCGGCGGGAGGCAGGGAGGAGCUGCCCAGGUGUGCUGAGGGGCCUGUACUCAGGAAGAGAAACAGGGAAUCCUCCACAGCAUUGGAAAAGUACCCCAACUCACCAAUGACUGCAAAACAAAUACUGGAAGUCAUUCAGAAAGAAGGGUUAAAAGAAACAAGAUAUGAAAUGCUUUAGUUCCUGCCAAGAAAUUGCUUGAAGUGUAUUUGGCAGGGCCAAAGAAACAAGGAAAUGAAAACUUUUGAAAACGAAUGUCCAAACGUGUGUUAUGCUGUAAGGAUUUGCAUUUAAAAAAAAAGAAAAGAAAAAAACACCAAACAACCACAUUUGAAAAUCUGUUUUCAUUAAGAUUCUGUUUCUCACAGCAGUGCAUAGAUUGCUUUCUUCUUACAUCUUGUGAUAUGAGGCAACCACAUGGGAGAAGCUUACAUGCCUGAUAAUAGCAUUUCUUUGUAAUUUUAAAAAUUCUUGUUUCCCUAAAAAGUAUGUAAAUAAAAUUUUGUGCGUAAAACCUAUGGGAGGUAGU